AUUGAACGCUGGCGGCAGGCCUAACACAUGCAAGUCGAACGAGUGGCGGACGGGUGAGUAAUGUCUGGGAAACUGCCUGGUGGAGGGGGAUAACUACUGGAAACGGUAGCUAAUACCGCAUACCCUCGGAUGUGCCCAGCUGGGAUUAGCUAGUGGGUGGGGUAAAGGCUCACCUAGGCGACGAUCCCUAGCUGGUCUGAGAGGAUGACCAGCCACACUGGAACGGAGACACGGUCCAGACUCCUACGGGAGGCAGCAGUGGGGAAUAUUGCACAAUGGGCGCAAGCCUGAUGCAGCCAUGCCGCGUGUAUGAAGAAGGCCUUCGGGUUGUAAAGUACUUUCAGCGGGGAGGCGUUACCCGCAGAAGAAGCACCGGCUAACUCCGUGCCAGCAGCCGCGGUAAUUC
rnacentral:rRNA from 1 species